rnacentral:lncRNA from 1 species
AUGGCAUGUGCCUUUGAAAUUGUUUCCCCUUUGCCAGGGAAGAACAGGCCUGAAGUAGAUAGAGCCCAUGAGCAAUCUGCCUACAGAUCUCGGACCUGGAAUCAGAAAGGAAGCCUCUGGGUACCUAUGAGAGGAUGCGUGGCGAAGGUCCUCCUUGGAAGCAUGAUGUUGAAUGUGUCUUUGUUGAGGUCUGAAGAAACUGAGGCCAUGAUGAGUGAGCCGUCUAUUCUGGAGGGCUGAAGUCAUGGACAGCUAAAUCAGAAGGAGUUCGAGAAAUCGUUUGGUCUGUCCCUCAGCCUGUGGGCAUUGGUUGAAGCUGACAGGUGGAAACCCAGAGUUGGCCCAGACAUGAUGGGUGGUAGAGAUGCCAACUUGUGGGAGAGAAGGUUUGGCUCCUCUCCUGGGAGCUGUGUCUGGCCAAAGGCUGCCUCUUCCCACCUCCUGCUGGAACUGGUUCUUUUAUAGCUGAUGUUAUCAUUGCUCCAUUGGCCUAGUCCAGUGGCUGUGGUCUCAUAACAAUUUUCCUUAUAUACUUAUGGUUCUAGAACUAGGCUAAGAGCACAUACACUCUUCUCCAUCUCUCUUGGUCCAUCAGAAAUGGCACAUCUCCCAAUCAGACCUACCACCCUUACUCAGUAAUUCCAACCAUGGAGGGUAAACACUGAAACCUUCAGAAUUUAUAGGGACUGCACUGCAUCAUUGAAACAACCAGAUAUACCCAUUCUAAACUUGUGUCUUUGGCUGUAAGUUCAUAGACAAAGAGAGAUCACUCUUUACUGAAUCUCAUCCCCAUUGACAUUUCCUGUCCGAGGUCCUGAAUGUGGCUGGGAGACAACUCCUUUUUCUUAAAGCCAAGAUGGCUCCUAACCAGGAAAUCUCAGUACCAACCACUAUUUCCUUUCCUGGGCUGCCCUUCUACUCCAGGUCCCCUUCUCUCCUGCCACCAUUGCCUUUUCCUUUCCUUCUUUCUCUUCUCUUUCUUUCUCAGCAAGUUUUUUAUGUGAUUACAGGCACUGCAUGGUAAUUAGUGCUAAACUCAUUUGCACAACUACAGUUAAUUGGCUACAACAAUUAAUUAAUGUGUUGGAAAUUUGGCACUGGAAAAAAAAAGUUUGUCAUCAAAAAAAAGGGCAAAAAAUUGUAGAGUGAGAUACCCAUAAAAAUCGAGGGCAGGCUUCAAAAGCCCAGCUGGGCCUCAAACUUCAGGCUGGCCUCUGAUGCCUUCCUAUUCUCAACUUCAACACAUUUUCCUCUUUCCUCUUUCAUUUUUUUUUCUCUUCCUUUCUUUCUCUAUUUCUCUUCUCUCUCCAUUUUUUUUUUUUUACAACUUAAGCAAACUCAUUUCCCUGAUAAAAUAUAGCAUGACUAAUGGCUAGAGC